rnacentral:misc_RNA from 1 species
CAAUUCUCGUAGUGAUAUCUUGGACAAAUUUUUGUCAGAAAGCAGUAUUAGCCGCUAUAAUCCUCAGAUCAUUGCUGAGGGCAAGGCCAAACCUAGGUUUGUUUCCCUAAGUUCAUCAGUUCUUGAAGGGGAAUCUGUGAUUAAUGAUAUUAGCUACUUGCAUUCUCCUAACACCAUAGAUGAUUUGAAGCCAGUAACUCAACUUCUUGUAGUUGACAUCACUUCAAUCAGAGGGAUAAAGUUGCUUCAUGAAGGAAUUCUUUAUCUGAUUCGAG